AGAGACGCUACUGAGUACUACGCAGAGGCUUGGAGACGCUACUGAGUACUACGCAGAGGCUUGGAGGUACAGCUACAAGAGUACUGAAUUGAUGAGUACUGAAUCUACACAAGCAUAGUCCUGCUGUAAAACACUGGAGUACCCGAGCUACUUAAAGUGAACACUCGUACAGAGACACUACUGAGUACUACGCAGAGGCUUGGAGGUAUUUGCUCCUGAUAUCCUGACCAGUACACAUACAGAAAGAAGUGUUCCACUACCAAUUUCCAUUCAUCUGUGGGUCUCCUGACAUGUUGGGAGAGCGAGGAUUUCAAUGUCGGACUGCUCUUGAGUUAACAUAAUCAUCAUGCAGUCCUUGGAGAACGUCGGGGGUUGUGUGUGUGUGUGUGUGUGUGUGUGUGUGUGUGUGUGUGUGUGUGUGUGUGUGUGUGUGUGUGUGUGUGUGUGUGUGUGUGUGUGU